rnacentral:rRNA from 1 species
CAGCAGCCGCGGGAAUACGAGGGGGGCAAGCGUUGUUCGGAUUUAUUGGGCGUAAAGGGUGCGUAGGCGGUUUGGCAAGUCUUGUGUGAAAUCUUCGGGCUCAACCCGAAGCCUGCACGGGAAACUGUCGGGCUUGAGAAUGGGAGAGGUGAGUGGAAUUUUCGGUAUAGCGGUGAAAUGCGUAGGUAUCGGAAGGAACACCUGUGGCGAAAGCGGCUCACUGGACCAUUUCUGACGCUGAUGCACGAAAGCUAGGGGAGCAAACAGGAUUAGAUACCCGUGUAGUCCCUGUCUCUUAUAC